AGUACGAGAGGACCGAGUUGAACUAACCUCUGGUGUAUCAGUUGUUCCGCCAGGAGCACUGCUGAGUAGCUACGUUGGGAAGGGAUAAGCGCUGAAAGCAUAUAAGCGCGAAACCCACCACAAGAUGAGAUUUCUUUAAAGGGUCGUGGAAGAUUACCACGUUGAUAGGAUACAGGUGUAAAGGCAGUAAUGUCAUAGCCGAGUAUUACUAAUAACCCAUAGGCUUAUGUAG
rfam:Tenacibaculum soleae strain TCD-KL19 scaffold_40, whole genome shotgun sequence.